rnacentral:rRNA from 1 species
GUACACUCCUACGGGAGGCAGCAGUAGGGAAUCUUCGGCAAUGGGGGCAACCCUGACCGAGCAACGCCGCGUGAGUGAAGAAGGUUUUCGGAUCGUAAAGCUCUGUUGUAAGUCAAGAACGAGUGUGAGAGUGGAAAGUUCACACUGUGACGGUAGCUUACCAGAAAGGGACGGCUAACUACGUGCCAGCAGCCGCGGUAAUACGUAGGUCCCGAGCGUUGUCCGGAUUUAUUGGGCGUAAAGCGAGCGCAGGCGGUUUGAUAAGUCUGAAGUUAAAGGCUGUGGCUCAACCAUAGUUCGCUUUGGAAACUGUCAAACUUGAGUGCAGAAGGGGAGAGUGGAAUUCCAUGUGUAGCGGUGAAAUGCGUAGAUAUAUGGAGGAACACCGGUGGCGAAAGCGGCUCUCUGGUCUGUAACUGACGCUGAGGCUCGAAAGCGUGGGGAGCGAACAGGAUUAGAAACCCGGGUAGUCCCAUGA